rnacentral:rRNA from 1 species
AACGAACGCUGGCGGCAUGCCUAACACAUGCCAGUCGAACGAGACCUUCGGGUCUAGUGGCGCACGGGUGCGUAACGCGUGGGAACCUGCCCUUAGGUUCGGAAUAACUCCCCGAAAGGGGUGCUAAUACCGGAUAAUGUCUUCGGACCAAAGAUUUAUCGCCUUUGGAUGGGCCCGCGUUGGAUUAGCUAGUUGGUAGGGUAAAAGCCUACCAAGGCGACGAUCCAUAGCUGGUCUGAGAGGAUGAUCAGCCACACUGGGACUGAGACACGGCCCAGACUGCUACGGGAGGGAGCAGUGGGGAAUAUUGGACAAUGGGCGAAAGCCUGAUCCAGCAAUGCCGCGUGAGUGAUGAAGGCCUUAGGGUUGUAAAGCUCUUUUACCCGGGAUGAUAAUGACAGUACCGGGAGAAUAAGCUCCGGCUAACUCCGUG